UACGUAGGGGGCGAGCGUUGUCCGGAAUUAUUGGGCGUAAAGAGCGUGUAGGCGGUUCGGUAAGUCUGCCGUGAAAACCUGGGGCUCAACCCUGGGCGUGCGGUGGAUACUGCCGGGCUAGAGGGUGGUAGAGGCGAGUGGAAUUCCCGGUGUAGCGGUGAAAUGCGCAGACAUCGGGAGGAACACCAGUAGCGAAGGCGGCUCGCUGGGCCAUUCCUGACGCUGAGGCACGAAGGUCAGGGGAGCAAACGGG
rnacentral:rRNA from 1 species